GUAAUAGCGGGAAACGUAAGAGGACUUUUGAACCAACGACUGUUCGUAAACUGUUUGUGGAAGCGAUUUUAUCAUGCAGACGAGGCGAAGAGGAUGCAACUGAGGAAAUAAUAAUUAGUGCAUUAAAAGAUUGGUUUCAAAGAGCCCACGCGCGAGUCAAUAUUGAUAUACCGAGAGAUGAAAAGAAUGCGGCUUGUCUUCGAAAUUAAAAAACGAUAAGCUUUUGGUCGCAAUCUGCUUUGAAAACCACUGUUCUGAAGAAGGAAUGCUAAGGAAGAAUCGCGAGAUGUAUAUUUUGUUUUCUAAUUAAACUAUUCACUGAUGAGGCGUGCGCAUAAAUAGUAAUGCGCCAUUUUUAGUUAC